rnacentral:rRNA from 1 species
ACUCCUACGGGAGGCAGCAGUGGGGAAUAUUGCACAAUGGGGGAAACCCUGAUGCAGCCAUGCCGCGUGUGUGAAGAAGGCCUUCGGGUUGUAAAGCACUUUCAGUAGGGAGGAAGGUAGUGUAGUUAACACCUGCAUUAUUUGACGUUACCUACAGAAGAAGCACCGGCUAACUCCGUGCCAGCAGCCGCGGUAAUACGGAGGGUGCGAGCGUUAAUCGGAAUUACUGGGCGUAAAGCGCAUGCAGGCGGCCUGUUAAGUCAGAUGUGAAAGCCCGGGGCCUAACCUCGGAAUUGCAUUUGAAACUGGCAGGCUAGAGUCUUGGUAGAGGGGUUAGAAUUUCAGGUGUAGCGGUGAAAUGCGUAGAGAUCUGAAGGAAUACCAGUGGCGAAGCGGCCCCUGGACAAAGACUGACGCUCAGAUGCGAAAGCGUGGGAGCAAACAGGAUUAG